UACGUAGGGUGCGAGCGUUGUCCGGAAUUAUUGGGCGUAAAGAGCUCGUAAGCGGUGUGUCGCGUCGGCCGUGAAAACCUGGGGCUCAACUCUGGGCGUGCGGUCGAUACGGGCAUCACUUGAGUUCGGCAGGGGAGACUGGAAUUCCUGGUGUAGCGGUGAAAUGCGCAGACUAUCAGGAGGAACACCGGUGGGCGAAGGCGGGUCUCUGGGCCGA
rnacentral:rRNA from 1 species